ensembl:lncRNA novel transcript
GGCUGAGGCACAGUGAGGGUCAGGGGCUUGCCCUGAUCUUUGCAGAGAGGUACCUGGAUUCUCCAUCCUUGUCGUGUCUCUGGUCUUCUCUUGGCUGGGUUUCCUGUUCUGCUUCAUCUGAAGCCAGGAGCUGUGAUCUCUGCAGAGGCUUCCUUGAUUUGCUGAGCUCUCUCCUGACUUCUUCAGCACCAUCUCCUCCCAGGUCUGAUGGGAUUUUGCCUUCUGAGAAACAAGAGAGAUGUGAGAGCCCCAGGGCUAAACCCUUCCAAGUAUCUGGGCACCAUGAUCUAGCAGACAAGUUGGUGAGGGUUAAGGAGUGGGGUGUGAGGAGGUGUGUUCUACCUCUGGGAGGAAUCGCGGCCUGGGAAUGCGGCCCUCGGUCCACUGAAGCGUGCCCAGGUCGCCCUCGACCUCUCGUACAAUCGCCUCAUACUCAGCUCGCAGGCUCUGGAACUGGCGUCGGACCAAGAAGCCCCGGACGCAGGCCUGGUAUGGAGAACGAGAGGAAAGAAGUCCCUUAUCACGGAAAAAUCCUGUGAACCCCGCGCCCGCCCCCGCACCUGCAAUGCAGACACCUUCCGAACCAGCAGCUCUGGCUCCAUGGGCGCCAACUGCCAGGCCCGCCCGCGCGCCUGCGAAGUACGUCAUUGGUCGGCGUCGCUCCUGAGCAUGCGCGGGCGUGGGCUUUGCCCCAGCCGUUCCCACGGCAACCUCCUACCGUCCAGGGUAGAGGCGUCCUGGCGACAGGCGUACCUGCGUCCCCCCAGCCCCCGACUGCCCCUCCCA